GAACGUGAUGUUGCCAGUCUAAGUGUAUAAAGGGGUUUAUAUCAAAGCCUGUCAAGUAGGUUACCGAUAAAUGUUUGUAUAAAGGAAUAAAUGGAUGGUGGUUUUAGGACCUUGCCAAAAACAAGGGUCACAACCUUCUCUGGAUUCCGCCUAAUUUGGAAUCUUUAUAACAGCGACGGAGGAAAUUUCAGGCAGAAGAAUCAGAAAGCAAUUGAAAGCUUCUUCCAGGGUUUGUUUAUUCUCUGCCAAAACCAGUAUUAAACCACUAUCGCGUGGUAUUCGGGCCUCUGCUGGUGUGGUUUCUUCCCCCUCCACUCCCCUGCCCCUCCAGUGUCCAUGACUGUCUGGAUCUUCCAUUUUGCACUUUUCAGGUGGCAAACACAGAAGGUUUUGUCUUAAAGCCAUAGCCACACUCACGAGGCACAGAUGGAAACUGCUUCCAAAGAGGAAGGUAUUGUGAAUGCUGACAUCGCCUCUUGGGCAGAAUUCUCUUACCUCACUGGAGAUGGGUUCAGUGAGCAGAUCCCUCUCCUGGAAACUGAGAGAGUUUCCGCAGGCAUCUUAAAGGAUCACAAGUUCCAUCUGUUGCGCGAUGUGACGAUUGUGCACAGCAGAUUGGAGGCACCCUUUCAGACUGAAACCUCUUACAUCCUCAUAUAGUCCUUUUCAUGGAACUACAAUGCAAGCAGUUGUAUAGAGCGCAGUGAACUGCGAUGCUAGCUUCCGAUCCCGAGA
rnacentral:lncRNA from 1 species